UGGCAGGCCCAGGCCGCACCCAUCGGCGAGCCGGCGCCGCAAACUCUGUUUUCCGUCGGCGAGCGACGCGGCGGCGACUCCGUACGGUCGCCCGCCGGUGCAAGCCCAGGCAGCUUCCCCGCCGCGGCCGCCCGCUGGUGCAAGCUCAGGUCCGCUUCCCCCGCGCGGCGUAGCGUGUGAAGCAGAAGCAGCGGCGACUCCGUGCGGCCGCCGGUGCAAGCUCAGGUCUGCUUCCCCGCGCAGAAACGUCGGAGCGGGCGGCGCAGCGGCGGCUCCACGGAGUGCCUGACCAGGCUCGUCAUGUCGUGCUUCACCGGCGUCUCUAUCAUCGACGGCGAGCAGUGCUGUUACGAGGCGUCGGCCGUGGUGGACGCCGGCGGCGCGGACAGCGGGUACCACUUGCUCGUGGUCCGUGGAUACUCGCGCACCAAACAAGAGUUGUCCGCCGGCGAGAGCAUCACCUCCGAUGCUUUCACCGUAGGAGGCCAUUGCUGGUACAUCGAGUACUACCCCAAGGGCGAAAACCCAGACUGCGGCGACUUCAUUUCUCUCUAUGUCACCAAUUACGACGACAGUCUCAAAGAGCCCCUGGAGACCAAGUUUUGUUUCAGCUUCGUUGACGAGGUUGAGAAGCAGACGCCAAUGUACAUUCGUGUGGCUGGUAAGACUUGCCGAUUCACCGACGGCCGUUGUUCCUGGGGCACCGACAAGUUUGUGAGAAGAGAUGCCCUUGAACGAUCAUCGGACCUAAAGGGUGAUUGCUUCACCAUCCGGUGUGAUGUCAUGGUCAUUCGCAAGGAUCCCAAAGCCGAGGAUGCCGGUGGUCAUGACACCAAGGUGCUCCUGUCUGACAUAGACCAGCAUUUUAACAUUCUCCUUCAAACCAAGGUGGGUGCUGAUGUGACAUUCAAGGUCAGCGGCGAGACCUUCGUCGCACACCGCUGUGUGCUCGCUGCCCGAUCCAUGGUGUUCAUGGCACAACUAUUUGGCCCCAUGAAGGAGACAUCCGCCGUCAUACAGAUCAAAGACAUGGAAGCAAAAGUGUUCAAGGCACUGCUUAGCUUUAUCUACACAGACUCAUUCCCUGUGAUGGAGAAGGCCACCAUGGAGGAGGAUGCAAUGGUGGAAGUUAUGGAAGAUGGGCAAGAAAAGGAGGCAGUAGAGGAUGAAAUGUUGCUGCAAUGGCUUCAAGACUUGUUGGUAGCGGCUGACAGAUAUGAUGUCCAGCGGCUCAAGUGCAUCUGUGAGAAGCAGUUGUCUGAGAACAUAGGUGUGAGCACGGUGAUGUCCGCUCUUGCUCUAGCCGAGCAGCACCACUGCCAGGGAUUAAAGGAGGCGUGCUUGAAGUUUAUCCAAGUCCAGUCCCCCUCGUGCUUGCAAACAGUAAUGGCAACUAAUGGUUGGGAUCAUGUAGUUUCGACCUAUCCCUCAGUUCUGAAGGAGCUCUUUCUCAAGUUUGCUUCGAACCAGCGAAAGUAACACCCUGCAUACGUGGCAGCACCCUGCUGCUGCAAAUUGCACCUUGAGCCUUCAUCAGCAAGUGUGGCAGUGCCAGACAGGUAAGCAUGCUUGGUUUGUAUAGCCAUUUGUUUUAGCAGCUCCGAGGCGGUGGACUGCGCCCUGAGGCACCUUUCGCAUGGCUAUUUAAUUUUGGGAGCAUGUACCUGGUCAUGCUGUUGGUUGUAUCUCCUCUCCUGAUCUGGGUGAAGAAUGGCGGCGGUGCUUGAACUACGUGUAUGGAUUGCACUGAGGAGGAUCUGCGAAUACAUGGCCUAUUGGCCUGACCAUCCAAACUGAAGAGUUGUAUAUGCAAGCAAGAAUAUAUCUUUGCUUGUCUAGUGUAGAAAUUGUUAACACGUGAUAGAAUCAUAGAAAGAGACCACGAAAUUGCUGGAGCUGCCUGUUACUGUUUAUUUAUUUGCGCGAAAUAGAAACGCAACUACAUCA